CAGUCGCCACGGUAAUACGAAGGGGGCUAGCGUUGUUCGGAAUCACUGGGCGUAAAGCGCACGUAGGCGGACUUUUAAGUCAGGGGUGAAAUCCCAAGGCUCAACCUUGGAACUGCCUUUGAUACUGGAAGUCUUGAGUUCGGGAGAGGUGAGUGGAACUGCGAGUGUAGAGGUGAAAUUCGUAGAUAUUCGCAAGAACACCAGUGGCGAAGGCGGCUCACUGGCCCGAUACUGACGCUGAGGUGCGAAAGCGUGGGAGCAAACAGGAUUAGAUACCCGUGUAGUCCCUGUCUCUUAUACA
rnacentral:rRNA from 1 species